rnacentral:tRNA from 1 species
UCCCUGGUGGUCCAGUGGUUAGGACUCUUCUCUUUUGGGGCUGAAAGUCCAGGUUUGACCCCUGGUGGGGGAA